GGACCUAUAGCUCAAUUGGAUAGAGCGCUACGCUACGGACGUGGAGGUUGAGGGUUCAAGUCCUUCUGGGUCCGCCA
rnacentral:tRNA from 1 species